AUUGCCCUUGCUCGUGUUUUUUUCCGUCGACUUUCGCUCCAAGUUCCUCAGUUUUGGGUUAACACGGACCGACUAUUAUGCCGCACUCCUAUGACACACAAGACAACGGAGACUCAGCACAGUACUAGUAAACACACAGUCACCAGUUUCAUAAUAUUCAUAAAGACUGAAUUUUUUUCUAAAAAAAGUGCAUAUAUUACAAAGAUGCGUCUGGGAAAACUGGAGAUAGCGGCAGUGUUGGGACUAGGCUGGUUGACAGGUCUGUACAUCUACAAACCACUGCUGGAGAGGCACAAGAGAGAGGAACUACAGAAUAUACCAACUGUUUCAGCUGAGGACAACACAAAGCAGCAGGAAGAGAAGACAAGGACUCAAGACACGAGUAAAGAACAGGAACAAAAGGAAAGAACUGAAGAAUGAUUGUUGGAGAGAGAAAAAGAAGAAAACUCGAACAAAAACAUGACCAAACUUCACUGAUUGUUUGCCAUGAUGUGUAUGACAUGCAUAUGUUGAAUCUAUUCUUUUCUUGUACACUUAUUUGUACAUGUUGUUUUAAUUCUACAAUAAUGCAUCUCUGACAAAAGAUAUGAUA